rnacentral:rRNA from 1 species
UACGUAGGGUGCAAGCGUUAAUCGGAAUUACUGGGCGUAAAGCGUGCGUAGGCGGCUUUGUAAGUCAGAGGUGAAAGCCCCGGGCUUAACCUGGGAAUGGCAUUUGGGACUGCAAGGCUUGAGUGCGGCAGAGGAGACUGGAAUUCCUGGUGUAGCAGUGAAAUGCGUAGAUAUCAGGAGGAAUACCGAUGGCGAAGGCAGGUCUCUGGGCAGACACUGACGCUCAUGCGCGAAAGCGUGGGGAGCAAACAGG